AUGUUCUCUGUAGCUCUGCUGCUGCUGCUGGCUGCUGCAUCCUAUACUGAUGGUCAAACACUGACUGAGUCUGAGUCAGUGGUUAAAAGGCCUGGAGAUUCUCACAGACUGACCUGCACAUAUUCUGGGUUUAGUAGCGAUCCUCACAUAGCUUGGAUAAGACAGGCAACUGGAAAAGGACUAGAAUGGAUCACUUAUAUCAGCAGUGGCAGCAGCUAUAUCUACUACUCUGACUCAGUAAAAGGCCGGUUCACCAUCUCCAGAGAGAACAGCAGAAGUCAGGUGUAUCUGCAGAUGAACAGCCUGGCAGCUGCAGAUUCUGCUGUUUAUUAUUGCGCUCGGGAGUCACAGUGACACCAAAAGCAGAAACACUGAAC